GCCCAUGUGGCUCAGUGGUAGAGCACUUCCUUGGUAAGGGAGAGGUCGGCAGUUCGAUCCUGCCCAUGGGCA
rfam:Candidatus Burkholderia kirkii TZHbot1, WGS project CAFE01000000 data, contig: bkir_c40